rnacentral:rRNA from 1 species
AUUGAACGCUGGCGGCAGGCUUAACACAUGCAAGUCGAGCGGAGAUGAGGUGCUUGCACCUUAUCUUAGCGGCGGACGGGUGAGUAAUGCUUAGGAAUCUGCCUAUUAGUGGGGGGCAACAUUCUGAAAGGAAUGCUAAUACCGCAUACGUCCUACGGGAGAAAGCAGGGGAUCUUCGGACCUUGCGCUAAUGGAUGAGCCUAAGUCGGAUUAGCUAGUUGGUGGGGUAAGGGCCUACCAAGGCGACGAUCUGUAGCGGGUCUGAGAGGAUGAUCCGCCACACUGGGACGGAGAAACGGCCCAGACUCCUACGGGAGGCAGCAGUGGGGAAUAUUGGACGAUGGGGGAACCCUGAUCCAGCCAUGCCGCGUGUGUGAAGAGGGCCUUAUGGUUGUAAAGCACUUUAAGCGAGGAGGAGGCUACUGAGACUAAUACUCUUGGAUAGUGGACGUUACUCGCAGAAUAAGCACCGGCUAACUCUGUGCCAGCAGCCGCCGUAAGAC